GUGCUCCCUUCAGCACACAUACUUGCUAAAAUUGGAACAAUACAGAGAUGAUUAGUCUGGCUCUUGCAUAAGGAUGACUUGCAAAUUUCAAGCAUGCUAUAUUUUUAU
ensembl:snRNA U6 U6 spliceosomal RNA